AUGAUCUUACUUGAACAGGAUUUGUUCUAUAGGAUUGUACUUCUGAAUCCUUGAGUUUAAAGGAGUCAGGACCCAAUGUCUGGUGGAUGAAUCGAGGCCGCUUGAUCAGAGCGUGAUUAAUGGCUCGGGUGGGUUCAGUUGCCUGACCUUCCUUGUCGUAGAGGAUCGUUCUCAGCUGGUGCUCCACUGGCUGUGAUGGUCAAGCGGUUGUCUGACAGGCU